AACGGCCAUACCAUGCUGAAUAUGUCGGUUCUCGUUCGAUCACCGAAGUCAAGCAUCAUCGGGCGUCAGUACUUGGGAGGGUGACCACCUGGGAAUACCGCGUGCCGUU
rnacentral:rRNA from 1 species